rnacentral:rRNA from 1 species
GACGAACGCUGGCGGCGUGCUUAACACAUGCAAGUCGAACGGAAAGGCCCCUUUGGGGGUACUCGAGUGGCGAACGGGUGAGUAACACGUGAGUAACCUGCCCUUGACUUCGGGAUAACUUCAGGAAACUGGGGCUAAUACCGGCUAGGAAUCCUUGCUGCAUGGUGGGGGUUGGAAAGCUUCGGCGGUUUUGGAUGGACUCGCGGCUUAUCAGCUUGUUGGUGGGGUAGUGGCUUACCAAGGCUUUGACGGGUAGCCGGCCUGAGAGGGCGACCGGCCACAUUGGGACUGAGAUACGGCCCAGACUCCGACGGGAGGCAGCAGUGGGGAAGAUUGCACAAUGGGCGGAAGCCUGAUGCAGCAACGCCGCGGGCGGGAUGACGGCCUUCGGGUUGUAAACCGCUUUCAGCAGGGGCGAAGCUUGUGGUGACGGUACCUGCAGAAGAAGCACCGGCUAACUACGUG